AUUGAACGCUGGCGGCAUGCUUUACACAUGCAAGUCGAACGGUAGCAGGCCUUCGGGUGCUGACGAGUGGCGAACGGGUGAGUAAUGCAUCGGAACAUGCCUAGUCGUGGGGGAUAACUAUCCGAAAGGAUAGCUAAUACCGCAUACGUCCUGAGGGAGAAAGCGGGGGAUCUUCGGACCUCGCGCGAUUAGAGUGGCCGAUGUCAGAUUAGCUAGUUGGUGGGGUAAAGGCUCACCAAGGCGACGAUCUGUAGCGGGUCUGAGAGGAUGAUCCGCCACACUGGGACUGAGACACGGCCCAGACUCCUACGGGUGGCUG
rnacentral:rRNA from 1 species